UACGAAGGGGGCUAGCGUUGUUCGGAAUUACUGGGCGUAAAGCGCGCGCAGGCGGCUAUCCAAGUCAGUGGCGAAAGCCCGGAGCUCAACUCCGGAACUGCCAUUGAAACUGUUUAGCUUGAGGACGAGAGAGGUGAGUGGAAUUCCCAGUGUAGAGGUGAAAUUCGUAGAUAUUGGGAAGAACACCGGUGGCGAAGGCGGCUCACUGGCUCGUAUCUGACGCUCAGGCGCGACAGCGUGGGGAUCAAACAGG
rnacentral:rRNA from 1 species